AGAGUGAACGCUGGCGGUAGGCCUAACACAUGCAAGUCGAACGGCAGCACAGUGGUAGCAAUACCAUGGGUGGCGAGUGGCGGACGGGUGAGGAAUACACCGGAAUCUACCUUUUGGUGGGGGAUAACGUAGGGAAACUUACGCUAAUACCGCAUACGCCCUUCGGGGGAAAGCCGGGGACCUUCGGGCCUGGCGCUGAUAGAUGAGCCGAUGUCGGAUUAGCUAGUUGGUGAGGUAAUGGCUCACCAAGGCGACGAUCCGUAGCUGGUCUGAGAGGAUGAUCAGCCACACUGGACUGAGACACGGUCAGACUCCGUACGGGAGCAG
rnacentral:rRNA from 1 species